rnacentral:rRNA from 1 species
UUGAAAGGGAAACGAUUGAAGUCCAGUUCGUACCGGGUGGGUAAAUCAACCUUUCGGCGGGGAUUAUGUUGGAGCGGUGAGGAAGUUAAACGCCCUUCAUGCCCGCCAUAUUCGUGUUUCUUUGGGUGUACUUUACCCGGCAUGGUAGGUUAACGUCCAAAUUUCGAACCGUCAUAAAAAUGGGUGGGGGAAAGUAGCUUCGAUCUCGUAUUGAAGUGUUAAAAACCUCCGGCAGAUGUGAUGAUCGGGAUUGAGGAUUGCAACGGAUACCCUUCUGGGCUACCCGCCUGAUCUCUGAAAGUUGCUCUGGUGCCGAAAGCUCGCUUACGGUCAUCAAAGUUGACGUUCAACAGGUUAGAACGGGAUAAAUUCGUUAAGGAUGUUGACGUA